AGAGUUUGAUCCUGGCUCAGAAUGAACGCUGGCGGCGUGCCUAACACACACAAGUCGGAUGUGCCGCAAGGUGCAUGGCAGACGGGUGAGUAACGCGUAGGGAAUCUACCUUUUUGUGGGGAAUAACGCUCCGAAAGGAGUGGUAAUACCGCAUGAGACCGCAGACUGGGAUGUUUGUGGUGAAACCUGGGGACCGCAAGGCCUGGGGCAAGAAGAGGAUCCUGCGUCUGAUUAGCUAGUUGGCGGGGUAAUGGCCCACCAAGGCGACGAUCAGUAGCCGGCCUGAGAGGGUGAUCGGCCACACUGGAACUGAGACACGGUCCAGACUCCUACGGGAGGCAGCAGUGGGGAAUUUUGCGCAAUGGACGAGAGUCUGGCGCAGCAACGCCGCGUGGGUGAUGAAGGUCUUCGG
rnacentral:rRNA from 1 species